AAAAGCACUUUGAAAAGAGAGUGCAAGAGAACGUGAAACCGUUAUAGUGGAAGCGGAUAGAGUCGACGUAUCUAGUUUGUAUUCAGCCAAUUUAUGGGGCAAUUUGUUGGUUCAGAAUUCUGCAAAGUUUUUGGCUAGCAAUUGUUGUUCUAUAAAUUGGUGCAUUUGCAAACAGAGUGCGCUGAAUCGAUUGAAUUUGCUGUUUUAUGGAUGUAAAGAGGACUAAUUUCGAUUAGAAACCUGGACUACCGGAGAACAGAUAAAUUUGAUUGUAAAAUUAGGCUGGUUUUUCGUGGCAAGAGUUUUGAGUUAAGGCUGUUUUUGUACGAUGCAUGCGUUUUGCAAUUAUGGUUUUGAUUUGGGAUUUUUGCUGCUCUGCCUUAUAUUCGGUGUUUAGUCGAUCACCUAUUUGACCCGUCUUGAAACACGGACCAAGGAGUUUAAGGUGUACGCAAGUCAUUGAUUGUUUAAAGUCAAAGGCGUAAUGAAAGUGGGACACUUGGUGUCUGUGAUGUGAUUUUGGUUUGUUUCGACGAGCCAAAUGCAACAUCGACCCAUGACUAGGACUUGUUCUGUUGUGGAGUCUGAGCGUACGCUUUGAGACCCGAAAGAUGGUGAACUAUGCCUGAACAGGAUGAAGUCAGAGGAAACUCUGAUGGAAGUCCGAAGCGGUUCUGACGUGCAAAUCGAUCGUCUGAUUUGGUAUA
rnacentral:rRNA from 1 species